rnacentral:rRNA from 1 species
GACAGAGGAUGCAAGCGUUAUCCGGAAUGAUUGGGCGUAAAGCGUCUGUAGGUGGCUUUUCAAGUCCGCCGUCAAAUCCCAGGGCUCAACCCUGGACAGGCGGUGGAAACUACCAAGCUGGAGUACGGUAGGGGCAGAGGGAAUUUCCGGUGGAGCGGUGAAAUGCGCAGAGUAUCAGGAGGAACACCGGUGGCGAAGGCGGGUCUCUGGGCCGAUACUGACACUGAGAGACGAAAGCUAGGGGAGCAAAUGGG